UAAGCUUGGUGCUACCUCUUUUCUUUUGUUUGUUAUUUUCUUUGAAUAAGAAAAUUGAGAGUUUUUGAAUAUUAUGAAGUGAAUUAUGGAAUGGAAAUAAGAUUGGUAUUAUUUGAAAAGAAGAAAGAUUGAAUGCUGAAAUCUAAUUAUAGUUGAGCAGAGAGAAUGAGUCUAUAUUUGUGUGAAAUACCGUAAUGUGAAUGGCAGUUCUGUGUGAAGAAUUCUAGUGAUUGGAAUGAGGAUAAUUGUGUGCUGAAAGCUGUGAGGGCUUAGUAUUACAGUUGGAGAUUAUGAGGGUGAAUAUAUUGGUGGAAAUAGUAGUUAUUGGUAUGACUGAAUUACUGUAAGGAAGAAACCGAUAAGGUGAAGGAAGAGAUUAUAGUUUCCUUAUGUGUUUAGAUAUUGGAAAU
rnacentral:lncRNA from 1 species